CGGAGAAAUAAUCUAAUGACUCUUGGGAGGCAAAAAUCAGAGGAUAAAAGAGCUAACAGCAAAUACCACACGGACAAAGGCAGUUUGCCUGAGGGCCACGUGGUAAUAAUACUCUUCAGAAGUUCUAGAACCCUGAGGAUUUCAAAGGGGGAGAGUCUCAUCUCUGGGUUGGAACUGCGACAGAUUGGAAGUCAUAUCAGAAGAAGCCAGGGUCUUGAUAUGCCUUCUUUUGACAUGGGGACCACUAACCAGGCCUGGGAGAGAAGGAGGAAUUAGCAUCAUCUAAAAGGAAAUCGUAUACUUGGCCAAUUCAAUAGACAUGAAUUGGGACUUCCUGUGUUCCUGUCUCUAUAGCAGGUUUUGUGAGGAGGUUUACAAAUACAUCAGAAAGUUCCUGCCCUCAGAGCUUUCAGGGAAGUGAGGAAGCCCAGAAUUUGACAAGUAUUGGAGAAGCAAUAUAAAAGAGGAGAUACCGAGAAGAAGGAGACUGCACAGAGACACCUUUGUGGAAAAAAUGGUACAAUGGUACUAGGCUGGAGAGUCAGGAGCCCAAGAGAAGAAGCCACAUUUGCUGAACAACUAAAUGAGGACCCUCCUCUUCCAUGUCCUUUUCCCUUCCACCUUCUCUAGAAGACUCUACCUGUUUUAAAUUAUCAGCCAGAAACACAACGUACACACAGCAGAAGCCCAGCUGGGUGACUAUAAGGAAGAAGCUCACGAUAUGCCUGGAAGAGAAAGGAGAGAGAGAAAAUGCGUUAUAAAAGAAGAGUUGAUUUGUCAAUUCGAUGUCUGUCCCUAGGGCUUGGUGUCCCUGUACCAGCACCCUCCAUUCUGCUACCUCAAUCAACAAUGGGGCAGUAAGAAGUGAGGUAACGACAGCUCUUUUU